rnacentral:rRNA from 1 species
UACAGAGGUGGCAAGCGUUGUUCGGAAUUACUGGGCGUAAAGGGCGCGUAGGCGGCUCGAUAAGUCCCGCGUGAAAGCCCCCGGCUCAACUGGGGAACUGCGCGGGAAACUGUCGGACUUGAGUUCGGGAGAGGGAAGCGGAAUUCCGGGUGUAGCGGUGAAAUGCGUAGAUAUCCGGAGGAACACCGGUGGCGAAGGCGGCUUCCUGGACCGACACUGACGCUGAGGCGCGAAAGCUAGGGGAGCAAACGGG